GACCGUGUGCCCGAGUGGUUCAGGGAGUCGCCUGCAAAGCGACUUACGCGGGUUCGAUUCCCGCCACGGUCUCCA
rnacentral:tRNA from 3 species